AGUCCCUGGCAAUGGGCAAAGAGACACCUUGGUCUUAUAUCAGCCAGGGACAGAGCAGAUGGAGUCCUUUGUUCAUCCUAGCUUGGUGCCUAUCUUGGUGGCCAAAGCUGUUUCAUGCCUAGGGCACAUAA